ensembl:lncRNA
UAAUUAGUGAAUGAAACGACCCGGAGAUGAGCAAAAACAUGUUCCCUGGUCGUGUGCGUUGUGUCUGUACUGAGAGGCAACGGGCUGGAGUGGGCGCUGGCCCAGGGGUUGGGGGACAUGGGUUCUAGCCCUGAUUCUGUUCCCAGUGGAGCUGUGUGACCUCAGUGAAUCCCCACCCCUCUCUGAGCCUCAGUUUCCUUAUUUCUCUCCAGGCAGCAUCGUGUGGUGCUUAGGCUGCAUGGGUUCGAGUGUUGGCUUUCUCCUACUUACUAGCUGCGUGAUCUUAGGCCACUCGGCCUCUGGCGCCUCAGUUUCCUGAUCUGUAAAAUGGGACUAAUAAUGCCCCAUCAGUUGGUUGUGAAUAGUCAGCGAGGUAAACGCCAGGCCCGGCAGGUGGUAAAUGCUCCGCAAAUAUUCACUACCAUCAAUGUCGUUAUUAUUAUUACUGUCACUGUGAAAUGGGAGGGAUCAACUUCCAUCCUUUCCAGCUCCGAUAUUCUGGGGCACCGUGCGUGUGUGUGUGUGUGUGUGUGUGUGUGUGUGUCCUGGCAUUUGGGAUGAAAGGCAAGGGUAAAUAAAAUGAACUGCCCUUUUGGUUUUUUUGUCUUCCUUUCCCUGCCCCGGUGAGGGGCUCCUGAGUUACGGUCUUAUACGUGUUCUCUUGAUCACCCGUCCCCGUGGCAGGAAGCCCAGUUUGACGUCACUGAAAAUAUCCUGCUUUCUGGCACGUAAGGGACGAGAUUUCAUCAGCUGGUGCUCACGCAUCCUCUCCCUUCCACCCUUAGCCGUAGCACGGAGGCCGUAUGUGCAGAUAAUAAGUUUAAGCUGAUAAACAACGCCCAGAUUCACCCAAAUGAAAGGCCGUCCCCCUAGAAGACACUUUGCACUUUCAAAUAAAUGACCUGGCUCCUCUGCGACGUCGCCUUGCGUCCGGCCGCCCUGCCUCCCUCUGUGCCCUGCCCCUGGGUCUGUGUCAGGGGCGUGGGCCGGGCCAGCUCUGCAGUCUUGGCUUUGUCAGCGUCCUGGCUGGGCGGCCUCCUCUGCCUCGGCUCCCUCCGGCGAGGCUGGUCCUUGCAGCCACCCAGGCACCGUCUUCACGGUGACACACGUUUUGGGAGAGCAUACCAUCCUCCGCCAGCAGCCAGCAAUGCUUCAUCUUGCCGCCACCCUCAAGGCAGGUUCAGAUGUUGUCCCCCUUUUACAGAAUAGAGAGGAAGGCUGGGAGAAAUCGAGAGAGAAAACGGUGGGACGAGGGUUUGACCCUGGGCUGACCUGAUGCCCGUCCUGUGCUCUGGUCCACUAUGUCACAGCUCCUCUUGUAUCGAGACCUCCUGUGAGCCCGAGGGCCCAGGAAGGACAUCCCUGAGCUGCGCUCCAGCCUCUCCUCCCGGCUUUGGGUCCUUGUCCAGGCUCAGCGUGCCGUGUGGGCUUCUCUCUUCUCAUCCUGCAUCAGUCACUCGCUUAUCCUGGGGACAGUGAGGGCCAGGAGUUUUUUGGGACAAGGCCGCUAAGAGGAGAGGAAUGAUCUUAUUAAGCAACAAAAGGCUGUCACUGAAAGAGGAUGCGUGUCGGAGUCGCAGUCUGAACUUGCAUCUUGUUUCUGCCACUUAGGGCUCUGUGGCCUUGGUUUCCUUCUCUGUGAAAAUCAGAAUAGGAGCGACAAUGAUACUGCUGAGCUGUGAGCCCGCUGCCACAGCGGACGGCCCCAGGCCCUCAGAGGCUUAACCCGGCCGGUUUGGUGCUCGCUCCUGUCACUUGUGUAACGUGGUCUCUGCUCCACGCGGUUACUCAGGGCCCCAGGCUGAUGGUGACGCCGCUGCCUCUAUAGCUGCAUCUUCUGACCAUGUGGCUUCUGCAGUGACUGCAGAAGGGGAAGGAGGUGGAGAAGACAGGCUCACCAUCCGCAGCCUCGGCCGGGAGGCGACACGCAUCACUUCAGCUCCAGCAGCAUCGUCAAAACCACCACGCGGGCCGCACUGCCCUCUGGGGAGGCUGGGAGGGUGAGGCAGCCCGUGGGUAUUUGCUGAGUGCUGACUCCUGCGUUUGCGUUUCCUGCGUAGGGUUCUCUGAGGAUUAAUCGAGGUGAUGCAUUUAAAGCGUCUAGCGUAGACCUGGCACCAUGGAAGGCUGCUUUCCCCCAUAGUCCCUGACGCGCAUGGCUCUUCACAGAUUACAGGCUGUGUGCGCGGAAAUGAUGUCCCGGUGGAUCAUGUAGUGCCCGUCAUACACUGGAGGAAGGCGGGGUUCAGAGAGGCCAAGGGACUGGCUGGUGGAUACACAGCAAGGGCGCUAAGCCGGGCCCCUACCUUCCGCCCAGUGCUCCCAUGGCCUCCUUUGCUUGCUGAAAUUUACUGCUCCCAGAACUUCUUCCAGGAGCUUCCAGAACCUCCUUCUGCUCCUGUCUCCUCCUCCUGACCCCUCAUGGUAUGGAGCGCCUGUGUUCGUCUUGUGGGUGCAUGGGGUGGGGGCCGAAGGGGCUGCAGACGAGAGGCUGCAGGAACCAUCUGGAAGCUGAGGAAGGAGCGAAGGGGCGUGAGGUGAGGGAGCCACGGUUUUAGGUUUUCAUAGUGGAAGCCACAGGAAUUUGGGCCCCACGUGCCGCUUUGGGGACUGCUGUGCGUUCAAGCUCUGGGGUGUCCCCAGAUGAUGACAAGGUUCCCUGUGGGUCCUGUCCCACCCAUGCAGCCCCGCGCUGGCCCUUUGGCCUCUUGUGGGCUUGGGAGGGGGGAGGAGGGCCCGAUGAGGCCACCCUGCCCGCUGCUCGGAGGACAGUGGGAUGGUCAGACCGAGCUUCCGAUCCUGCCUCCUCUGCCAGCCCUCAUGCCUCUCUCUGAGCCUCAGUUUUCUCCCCUGCAAAAUGGGAAGGGUGUGGGGAAGCUGUAAGGCAGUCAAGUUCCUGGUACGUCGUGGGUGUCAACGUGUUUGCACAUGUCUCCUCUCCCACUUGAGUCGGAGGAGGAGGUGCCUGGCGAGGGACCAGCACCUGAGGAGAGGCCAGAAGCUGCCCAGCACGGCCGCCCGUGCCUCGCCUCUUGGAUGGAGGGUCGCCGGGCCCCCUCCCCGCGGCCCCAGGCCGAGCUCUGGUGGUGAGCUGAUGUGGCUUCCGUUUGAAAGGGGAGAAGAGCUUGGAGCCCUGGCCCUUGGAUUCGCGCCCGUCUUUUCAUGUCUAAUUACUACGGUGGGCACGGGGCCUGGGGUACCGUGGCACGGGGCUCCCUCCCGCGUGGCUGCCUCUCCGGCUAGGCCAGAUGGCUGUGCGCUCGCUGGCCAAGUGCGCCCCAGCCCCCCCAGGAGCCGCCCUGCCACCACCUGGAGCCUGACAUUCCCGGCUGCAGGGAGCCGGGCAGGCCGGGCCACUGCUCGGUGUGGGGUUUCAGCCCCCGGGGCAGGGAGGUGCUUCUGCCGCCAAAACCUAAAUGCCCGGAGUAAUGGAGGUUAACUGUCCCCUUCAAAGGACCCCCAGGAAGGGCUAGUGGGCUGGACACCGGAGGGGAGGGGCCUCUGGGAGAGGAUGGCUCCCCAAGACGGGUUCUGAGGUGGCCCAUCGUCCCCCUACGCAUAGAGGACACUUGUUCUUGGGGGCACUGAAGAGAGCGACUUCCACUGUGGCCACCAGGAUGCCUGGGAGGCACGCUGGCUGCCGGCUGGCAUGCAGGCCGGUGGGGCCGGGAGUCGGACGCCGUGGGGCCUCAAACACGCCCCAUUCCGCCUGUCCCCUGACCUCGGCUUUGCAGCCCCUCCCACCUGAAACGCCUGGGCCGGGCCUGGGACCAGCUCUGGAGCCCCCUGAGGCGGGGUCCUGGUCCCCUCGGGCUGCCGUAACAAAGCGCCACUAAGUGGGGGCCCAAAACAGCAGACGUUUGUCCUCUCGCAGUUCUGGAGGCUAAAGUCCUGGUGUUGGCAGGUCCCAGGGAGGGUGCUCCAUGCUCCUUCCUAGCAGCUGCUGGUGGCUGCUGGCAGGCUCGGUGUCCUUGGCUUGUGGACACAUGACUCCCGUGUCUUCCUUGGUCGUCACGUGCGGGUCUUCCUGUGCCAUCCGUCCUCUCACUGGAUUGGGGCUUAACAACCUCGUCUGAACUUGAUCACGUCUGCAAAGACCUGAUUUGCACAUAAGGUCACAUUCACAGGUACCGGGGGCUGGAACUUCCGCAUAUCUUUUUGGGGGACGCAAUUCAACCCAUACCAGGUGGGCACUAUUAUUUCCCCAUUUUACAACCAAAAAACCCAACCCAGGGGGGUGAAGUCGUUUGCCCAAGUUCGUCCCACUGUCUAGGAAGGGGUUGAAUUGAUCUCCGUGCGCUUCAGUUUUCUUAUCAGUGAAGCGGGCACUUAGACCCGCCUCGUGGCCUGGUUGUGAGCGUCCGAGGAGUGACCGUCUGCGACAGACACGCUGCCCACAGCUCGGCGCUGUCAGAUGCUGUGAGCCGUGUCCGCCCCCUCCCUCCAGGCCUGGAAGGCUGCUGGGUGUUCAGUCUGGGCCCCAGGAGCAUCGACGUCCAUGGACCAUAACCAGAUGCAGAUGGGGUGUUUUCCAGAAACGUGAUUGGAAAUGACUGCGCAAAAGGCGCCACGUGCGUUGCCUCCACUUGGCUCCUGGAGCUGCCCGUGUCCCCGUCCUCUCAGGUGGACAAGAUGGGGUUGAGGUGAAUGUUCGUGCUGCUUGUCCUGGAUUCACCUUUAGCGCCGGAGAUCACUGUGACUUUUGCGCCUUGGGCACCUCUCCCCGGGGACAGCGUCUGGACGUCUCUGCCCGAGGAGGGGCCUGGAAGGAUCCACAGGUGCUUCUGGGCUCCAGAACCCACCCCGUGGGGCCCAGCAGGGUUUGGGGCUCCGCUGUGGACGCCCGGGGUUCAGAUCCACAGCCUCGUCCCCAUGCCGUGGAGCAGAGGAGGCGUCGCCCCAUCGAGGGGCUGUGGCCUCUGAGCGUGUGGCCCUGGGUUCACGUCCCAGUUCAGCCGCGUUCUGUGGCCUUUGACAAAUUACUUCACGUCUGUGUGUCGCCGUUUCACCUCCUAGGGUUUUAUGAAGAUGAAAUAAGAUGAAAAUGCAGAAAUGUGCCUCUUAGGGCUGAAUGUGGCUCUAUUCAAUGAGUGUUAGAAUUAUUCUAAUUCUAGAUUCUAAUUCUAAUUCUCUGCUCUGCUGAUUACUUUAUUUAUUAUUUGUUUCCCUCCGUGUGAUGAGGGCAGAGACCUGUCUGUUUUGUUCUUCUUGGACCCCGCAGGGUGUUCUCAGUGCUGGGGGCUGAAGGAUGCUCGAUAGGCACAUGGUGAAUGAAUGAAUGAAUGAAUGAAUUCCUAGUCACAGCUUCUCUGGGAUCACAUCCUUCCUUGUGUGCACUGAGGCCUCUGCCAAGAAGCCUCUCUUACAUGGGGGUACUGGGGAUAUUAUGGGAACAAAGCCGGUGGGGAGCCCCGGGGCGCCAUGGAAAACUCCGGAAAAGCCCUUCCAUCUGGGGGCAUGGCCACGCAGGCCCCCCACGGAGUGAAGUACAAGUUGAAGCUGGGAGGACGACAAGAAGCUGGGGAGUGGGGCCUGGAGGGCGGUGGCCGCCACGGGAAACAGGCCGUGGGGUGGCCCGGUGGGGAGAGCCACGUCCGCAGUGUCGGGCGUCCCCACGGCUCGUGGGACAGAGGGGCACGGCCGGCAGGGACACUCGCCCCACUUCUGGCGCACGGAAGGGAGGCCAGUGCUUCUCCAGGGUUGCUCCCGAGCAGGUGCGUCUCGCCCGGGACAUCCCUGAUCUCAGAAAAUGCCAGCUGGACUGCGGGCUCCUCAUUCAAUGUGCAGACAGAUUAACUCUCAGGUUCCCUGUGCCCCCUCCUGCCUUGAAAAUCGAAUUCGAUUCACCCCAGUUCCACUCACGCACUUGGUUGGGGAAACGUCUGUCGUGUAAUGUGAUCCUGUUAGCCGCCCGGCUCGAAGCCCUUCAGCGGAUUCUCAGUUGUGUUCAGAGUUUUCCCCGCAGCCUUGGCCCCCGUCCCCAAGCCUGCCUCCCUCUGCCCCGGCCCACCUGCCGUCUUCUGCCUUCUCUUGCCCCCCCCCAUAGAGGGUUGAUCUGCAUCCUCUCCCCCCUCCCCUGCGAUGCUUUUCCCUCCCUCUCUAGCUCCCGACUCCUCCUCAUCCUUUGGACCCCAGCCCCUGUGCCACCUCCUCCGGGAAGCCCUCCUUGACUUCCGAGUGGGCCACGUUGCCCACCCAUUGGCUCCAGCUGCUCCACAAUCCCCUCUUUCAUGGGAUCUUGUCACAGCUGGGAGAUUGUUGCCUUGUCUGUGUCGUUCUUUAACGUCCUUCUCCCCUCAUCUAGUGUAAGCGCCAGAGGACAGGGGCCCCGUCUGUCUUCACUCACCCCUGCCUCCCGGGCGCCUGGCACAGCCAUGCCAGAUGCCCGCCUCCCUUUUCUCCUCUGCAGGCCGGUCUCCUUCGGGCUGUCUCGGCAGCGAGCACCGCGAGCGUGUACCGAUUACUCGCUGUGUGCCGGGCGCCCGCCCGUCUGACCUCACCGGAUGGAAGGUUUACAGUCCCGGCCCUACCCACUGCCCAGCUCUGCAGCCUUGGGCAAGUCACUCAGCCUCUCUGAGCCUCAUUUUCUCAUCCAUGAAAUGGGACUAAAAAUAAUACCUAAUUUAUUGGGUUGUUGGGAGGAUUAAAUAGGUUAGUUCAUUUCAAAUUUAUUUUCUCCGUUUCGGAGGCUAGAAGUUCACGACCAAGGUGUGGGCGGGGUUGGCUUCUGAGGUCCCUCUCCUUGGUCUGGAGAUGGCCGCCUUCUCCUGUCCUCACGUGGUCUUCCCUCUGUGCACGUGUGGCCCUGGUGUCCCCGGGGUGUCCAGUCUCCUCUUAUAAGGACAUCAGUGAGACUGGAUUAGGGCCCAUCCUAACGGCCUCAUUUAAUUUGGUCACCUCUUGAAAGACCCCGUGUCCAAAUACCGUCCCAGUCUGAGGUCCUGGGGGCUAGGGCUUCAACACAUGAAUUCUGGGGACAGAGUUCAGCUCAUCACACCUUCUAACGAAGUAGUAUGAUUAUUCUCAUUUUAUGGCUAAGGAAGCUGGGGCACAGAGAGGUUAAGUCACUUCCCGAAAGUCACACAGCUGGUAAACAGAUGUAGAAAUGCCAACUCGGGGUCUGAACCCCGAGCCCACUCUCAGGCAUUCAGUGGUCUGUUUCCUGGCUAGGCUCCUUGGCAGGACACCAGGGUCGUCCCUGUUGGAGCCAGUCUGUGUCUUAACAGCCAGGAUGGGGAGGGAAUCAGGAUCCAGGGCUCUCAGAGGCCUCUCCCCUGGCCCUUUGCUCCCUCCAGCCCUUCCCCCCUUGCUCAGUGGCAGCUGCCAAACCUUUGAGAGAAUUGGGGCCUGUGUCCUGCACCCGGGCCGAGGCCACAAUGGGGCGAGAAUGCAGUGAGAGGGUCCCAGGAAGUGAGAGGGGUUAUCCAUUCCAGAGUUUUCUCCCCCUCCAUAGUUGAUCUAUUUGAUUUCCCAGGAGUUCUCAGAAACUAUUUGAAAAUAGUGAAGUUUUGCUGGUGAAACACCUAAGACAAAAAUAAUGAGGGUAAACGCAGUGAGAGAAUAUGGAAAUAGAACAAAGGCGUCUUCAAUGGAAAUGCACUCUGGGUCUUAACCCCGCGCCCUGCGUGGAGACGACCACGGUGGCCAGCUUCUCGUGUCUCUGGAGCGGCGCUCUCGGUGGACGAGCCCUCUGUGAGCAUCGCGCCCUUCAUCUUUACAUCUCUGUUACCUUCCAUACCUGAGUUUACGGAAGCCGCCGUUGGAAAGAGACCUCGAGGCGUCUUUCCACCCCUGAAAGGAGAAGAAAGCGGUGGAAAGAGGACAAGCUGGGCCAAUAAAGGAAAUAAACAGGAGCCCCUUUGACCAGGAGACUCCAUCUCGCUGACGCCUGAAGACCUGCCCAGGUGACGAGCCAGCACUGGCCUCCCCUGCUCUCUCUGCAUCUCCGCCCCAUGCUGACACUGCCCGAUUGCCCUUCAAUUCUACCUGUCUGUCCGUCUCUUCCCUAUCUCUUCUCUCGCUCUUCCCCUGUCUCCUUCAGUCUUUCUCCAUCUUUCCCUCUCUCUGACUUACCUUCGUCUGUUUCUCAGAUUGGCUGCCUCUCCACCAUUCUGUCUCUAUUUCCCCUUUUCCACUAUUCAUUCAUUCAUUCAGACAUACUAAUUGAAGACCCACUAUGUGCCAGGCACCGCUCUGGACACUAGGAACAUGGCAGUGAACAAAGGCAUGUCCAUGCCUUCACGACACAUAUGUUCUGACAAAGGAAGAUGCCACCGGAGCAAAUAAGGAAAAUGUUGGGCAGGUGGCAUGCCCGCGGGCACUGGCGCGGGCUCGAGGAGCAGGCUCCAGGCGCGGAUCCAUCGCCAGCUGGUCCUGUCGCUUGGCCAAGCCCCCUUUCCCUUCUCAGCCCCACUUUUCUCAUUUCCACAGUGAGGGUGUUGGGCCAGGUCGGUGCUGCCCGCCCUUCUCACGACCAAGAACUUCUUUUUUUAUGGAAAUACUGGUGACAUACAUUAUACAAGGCUGGAUUCUAAACCAUCAUCACACAAAUAAA